AAGUCGUAACAAGGUUUCCGUAGGUGAACCUGCGGAAGGAUCAUUACAAGGUUCUUAGUGACAUCUCGAAAGAGAUCCCUCCCCAAGUAUCCCACCCGCUGUCUAUAUACUCUUGCUUGCUUUGGUCGGGGCUGUGGGCCUCCACUGGCCGGGCUCUGCGUCGUACGUACCCGCCACGCAGGACCAAAACUCUGAAUGUUAGUGAUGUCUGAGUACUAUAUAAUAGUUAAAA
rnacentral:misc_RNA from 1 species